GAUGAACGCUGGCGGCGUGCCUAAUACAUGCAAGUCGAGCGAACGGACGAGAAGCUUGCUUUUCUGAUGUUAGCGGCGGACGGGUGAGUAACACGUGGAUAACCUACCUAUAAGACUGGGAUAACUUCGGGAAACCGGAGCUAAUACCGGAUAAUAUUUUGAACCGCAUGGUUCAAAAGUGAAAGACGGUCUUGCUGUCACUUAUAGAUGGAUCCGCGCUGCAUUAGCUAGUUGGUAAGGUAACGGCUUAUCACGGCAACGAUGCAUAGCCGACCUGAGAGGGUGAUCGGCCACACUGGAACUGAGACGCGGUCCAGACUCCUACGGGAGGGAGCAGUAGGGAAUCUGACGCAAUGGGCGAAAGCCUGACGGAGCAACGCGGCGUGUGUGAUGAAGGUCCUCGGAUCGGGAAACUCGGUUAUUAGGGAAGAACAGAUGUGUAAGUAACUGUGCACAGCGUGACGGUACCUAAUCAGAAAGCCACGGCUAACUACGUG
rnacentral:rRNA from 1 species